rnacentral:lncRNA from 1 species
ACAAAUAAGAAUGUAAUUUUUAUAUAAAACUCAUAGUGUGUAACGACCCGACCCGCUAGGAAUAAUAACUCGUUGGGCCAAACCACUGGCCCAAAAUGUUUAAGCCCUCCUCAUCGGGUCCAAACCGAUCACAGACAGACAGACCAGGAUCAUUAUCAGGCGAUGUGAGAUUCUAGAGGUGGCUCCUACAGGUUCAAGAGGUGGCUCCCACCAAACCCGUUGGUGUCCGCAUAGCACUUAGUUCUCACACUUCCGGUUGGUAUUCGUUCUGAUACCAAUUGCAACGACCCGACCCGCUAGCAAUAAUAACUCGUUGGGCCAAACCACUGGCCCAAAAUACUUAAGCCCAGUUAUUAUUUCUAGCGUGUAGGCCUCAUAUAAACUGAUCGAAAUCAGUAUCCCAUCCGAUGUGGGACUAUUGGGGGCGUUACAUAGUGAAAAAACGAAUAAUACAAAUACCGCUUUAUUUUCUCAAAAUAUAUAUAAACCAUUUCCGUUCCUUUCAAAUUUCUCCUUAUCUCUGCACAAUUAACAAUUAUCCCACCUUUAUCUCCUUCCGAAAAAAAAAAAAUCUUUUUUUAUCUCUCCACACAUAUUAGUAAUCAAAAAAUUUAAAUUUUCUUUUUUCAACAUAUCUAGAAUUUUAAAAGCACAAUAUUAAAAAAGAAUUAGAUAUUGGAAUAUAAUAUUAUAAUGUAAUUUAUUAAUAUAAAAUAUGAUACUACUAAAAAAUUCAGAUAUUCAUACUUGUAUCUCCUUUUUCUUUUUUUUUCUUUUUUUUUUUAAAAAGAGAUAGGUAGCACGCUAUCUGCUUCGUUUAUUUCAUUUAAAAAUAAACUUAGCUUGAAAUGUGAAUCAACUAGGAUUCGAACUUAGGACCUCAGGUACCAACCACUAAGCCUGUUGUCACUUGCUUUAGGAACGGUCGGCCUUGUAUCUCCUUUUUCAGAUACCGUAUAAUUUUGACUCUCUAAAAUUAUACUCAUUUAUUCAUAUAUGACUGCAUUUU